AAACUCUCAACCACACCUCAAAGAAAAAGGGGGGUGUGGCUUUUGGAUGUGGGGGUUUUGCGGGCUUUUUUGAAAGAAAAAGCUGGCUCUCCUGAAACGCAUUAGUGGUAUCUGAGCAGAGACCUACUACAGGUGUGAUAAAACUGUCUAUGCCUUAGUAAAACACUGCACGACCGCUUCUAAUGAGUGGGAUUUUAUUUGACAA
rnacentral:misc_RNA from 1 species